rnacentral:lncRNA from 1 species
GGUAGAAAGUGAGACUAGUGGUCAAUCGGACCAGCAAAAGCCGAGUUUGGCUGUAAGGUACCGAACUUCUUAAAUUAUGAAGUUACGGUGGGAUGUAAUAUGCUGAAAUUUGAAUAUAAAAAUAAAUAUAAAUAAAAAUAGUGUGAGAUACUAUUUUAUUGGACUUAUAGACAUAAAAUAUAAGUCUAGAAUGGCCCGUGUUGAAAUCGGAGCGAAAACAGAAGAUUUAGAAUUUUCUGUGUGAAACGGGGCAGAUAAAUUAGCAGAAAACGCAUAGUGUCAGAAAAUUCUGAAAACUGGAGGAUAAGCCAGAAUUAUUCUUAUGAGGCUAGAUUUAAAGUUUCGUAUUUUUCUGACACCCGUAGAGUGAGAAAUAAAAUCCGAAAGCCAUCUGAUAAAGAUUGCAGUUCGGCACAGUUUUCGGUGACCAAAUGGGGUCGAAACUGAAAGAUUAAAAUUUCUUUCGUUAAGUUAAGCAAAACCGAACAUGACUGUCAAAUUUGAGCUCAAACGGAUAUUCAGGGAGCUCCGGCGAAAGAUAUCAGAUUUUGAGCUGCCUGAUGUGAAUAGUGUAUGCUACUAUUGAGGUGUUGACUAUAAGUAGAAGCUACUAGGCUUCUUCUUCCUCCUCAGCUGCAGCCAGCACAAGCAUCACACGCACAUGGUGAAGGAGAGAGAAACCCUCUCUUUCUCUCUCUAAAUAUCUCUCUCAUCUCUCUAGAUCUUUCGCCCAAAUUCGCGGCGUUGGUGGAGAUCGAGCUUGCGAACGCGUUGGAGGCGACGGAUUGAGCUUUCGUGCGCCCGUUGGAGCGACGUGUUUUCAUUGCGGCGUUCACAUUGGGGUAAACUUUUGGGAUUUGGCUUAAUCUUUAACCUUAAGUAUUCUAGUAGCCUCUAAUGAGCAUUCUUAGCAUGUUGCUCCAUUUAAUUUGGAUUAUUUGGGGCUAAUUGCAUGUUAGGGCUCAAAAAUGGGAUUUUGCAAUACGUGAGGGUUUGAUCUAAAUUGAUCAUGUAUAAACCUAAUUGCUAGGUUUUCUGACGCGUUGGCGAAGUCGGUUCGGCGAUACGACGAGCGUACACGAAGAUAUUAAAGAACGAAGCUGUUAGGGUACAGAUUGCCGCAACUUGCGGCGAAAGCUUCCAAAAAUCACGAAAUCGGAAUCCUAGCCUCG